GACGAACGCUGGCGGCGUGCUUAACACAUGCCAGUCGAACGGAAAGGCCCUGCUUUUGUGGGGUGCUCGAGUGGCGAACGGGUGAGUAACACGUGAGUAACCUGCCCUUGACUUUGGGAUAACUUCAGGAAACUGGGGCUAAUACCGGAUAGGAGCUCCUGCUGCAUGGUGGGGGUUGGAAAGUUUCGGCGGUUGGGGAUGGACUCGCGGCUUAUCAGCUUGUUGGUGGGGUAGUGGCUUACCAAGGCUUUGACGGGUAGCCGGCCUGAGAGGGUGACCGGCCACAUUGGGACUGAGAUACGGCCCAGACUCCUACGGGAGGCAGAAGUGGGGAAUAUUGCACAAUGGGCGGAAGCCUGAUGCAGCAACGCCGCGUGCGGGAUGACGGCCUUCGGGUUGUAAACCGCUUUCGCCUGUGACGAAGCGUGAGUGACGGUAAUGGGUAAAGAAGCACCGGCUAACUACGUG
rnacentral:rRNA from 1 species